GUGAAAAGACAUAUAUACCCUCAACUAAUAUUGAAUUCCAAAAUUGUCCCUAGCAAAAAGACGUUCUGUACAUAUCCCCUCGAUCAGUUUCAUGGAUUAUACACACAUGAACAGGCAAGCGGUGAUGGAACCAGUAGCAACUUAUUACUGGCGGUGAUUCCUCAUAAAAUUGUCAACAAUUCAUCUCCUGAUAUCCUCAUCUCUCCUCGCCGAUGUCGAGUAUCUUUUGCGAGAUUAUGCAGGUACCUAGCAUUCAGCAGCAGUUGCCCUGAUCUCAUUUGCUUUAACUUGUAGGGCCUUGCUUUGUAUAUGUAUUUUCAUCUAAAAUUGUACCCUAUAGCAAAAUAUAUUAUAAAAUCUUAAGGGAUUCACUAUCUCAACGAUUAUAUAAGAUAUCGAAAUUUAGCCAACCCUCAGUUUAGAAUUUAUCACAACAAUAUUGCCAGUAUUAAAUUACUAGAUAUGUUAUAUCUAAUCUGAACAUAAAUACCUCCUACAUGCAAGAUAAGGAUAAAACUGCCAAGGAAAGAAAGGUUGUUAAUUAUCUGUAUAUAUAUUUGACAAUAUUGUUGAGGAAUGUCGAGAAGCAGCUCUCAAAUAUUAUAAACAUUAUCCUCCCUUUGUUGGAAGCAUGCAAUGACAAAAGCCCAGAUGUCCGACAGGUUUGUUUAUUGUAAAUAUUGCAGCUACUUUCAGGUCACUGUUUCUAUAUUUAACACAUUUUUAUGCUCGCCGUGUAUGGGGUAGGAGUAUGUGCAGGGUUUGGUGGAUCUGCGUUCAAGAAUUAUGUUGGUGAGGCUAUUUCUAGAUUGGAUGUUGUAAUAGGACACCCCAAUAAGUUGGAUUUAGACAGUAUCAUGCCAUAUGACAAAGCUGUUUCAGCACUUCGAAAAAUUUGUUGAUUUCAUCGUGACAAGUUAAAUUCAGCCCAGGAGCUGAAUACCAAGCCAGUGACUUGAGUUUACUAAUUGAGAACACCUCGGUUGAACAUUUUGGUUUGGCAAGGAAUAUCACCAUCACUAAGGAUUCGACGACCAUUAUUGCUGAUGCUGCAUUAAAGGAUGAGAUUCAGGCUAGGAUUGCACAGAUUAAUAAAGAGUUGUCUGAGACCGACUCUGUUUAUGAUUCCGAGAAACUUGCACAGAGAAUCGCAAAGUUAUCUGGCCGGGUUGCUGUUAUUAAGGUAGGUGCUGCAACUGAGACCGAGCUUGAGGAUGGUUAGCUUCGUAUUGAGGAUGCAAAGAAUGCAACUUUUGCUGCCAUAGAAGAAGGUAUUGUGCCGGGUGGUGGUGUUGCCUUGGUUCAUUUGUCAGAAUAUGUUCCUGCCAUCAAGGCCAAGCUUGAGGAUGCAGAGGAGCGUUGCGGAGCUGACAUAGUACAAAAGGUUGUGAGCAUUGUAUCUUGUGUUAGUGGUGAUGGUAACUUGGUUUGAAACUUCUUCAUCUAAUGUAUGCAACGAGACACAAUUUAUUUGAGGGACUACUAAGAUAGAUAAAGAGCUAGAGAAUGUUUACUCAAUUGCGUCCACCAAAAGGCAUUGAUUUUUGAAAGUGGAUCACCUGGAUGCUGAUUUUUGAACAUGUUUUCGUAUUAAAUGCCUUCUUACCUAAAUCUCUGAAUCCUGUAGAUACCUGAACAUGUUCGAUUAGUGCGCCAUACAGUUCAA